rnacentral:rRNA from 1 species
AGUCGAGCGAUCUGAGGGAGCUUGCUCCAAAGAUUAGCGGCGGACGGGUGAGUAACACGUGGGCAACCUGCCUGUAAGACUGGGAUAACUCCGGGAAACCGGGGCUAAUACCGGAUAAUAUCUAUUUAUACAUAUAAUUAGAUUGAAAGAUGGUUCUGCUAUCACUUACAGAUGGGCCCGCGGCGCAUUAGCUAGUUGGUGAGGUAACGGCUCACCAAGGCGACGAUGCGUAGCCGACCUGAGAGGGUGAUCGGCCACACUGGGACUGAGACACGGCCCAGACUCCUACGGGAGGCAGCAGUAGGGAAUCUUCCGCAAUGGACGAAAGUCUGACGGAGCAACGCCGCGUGAGUGAUGAAGGUUUUCGGAUCGUAAAACUCUGUUGUUAGGGAAGAACAAGUACCGGAGUAACUGCCGGUACCUUGACGGUACCUAACCAGAAAGCCACGGCUAACUACGUGCCAGCAGCCGCGGUAAUACGUAGGUGGCAAGCGUUGUCCGGAAUUAUUGGGCGUAAAGCGCGCGCAGGCGGUUCCUUAAGUCUGAUGUGAAAGCCCACGGCUCAGCCGUGGAGGGUCAUUGGAAACUGGGGAACUUGAGUGCAGAAGAGGAAAGUGGAAUUCCCAGUGUAGCGGUGAAAUGCGUAUAGAUUUGGAGGAACACCAGUGGCAAAUGCGACUUUCUGGUCUGUAACUGA